rnacentral:lncRNA from 1 species
CUCUCUGGGGAUUGAGGAUUCUGUAACUCUCUUUUACUCCUUUUUUCCCUCUCAGAGUGCCCCUUCUGCUUCUGCUAGUCUUUGCAAUGAGGAACAAAAAAGCAGCAGCGACUGGUCUCCACAGCACCAUUUAUAAGUUCGUUAGAUGUAUCCAGAACGGAAAUGGCUGCACAGUUCUGCUACUUUAAGAGUGACAAGAACUACAAGGGUAGUGGUUUUUAACCCUUGAG